GGCAGUUCUUGGGUGACAUACCUGGAAUCGGGUUCCCUCCUCUCUGGUUCCGGGUGCAUCACUCAAGAACCCCA
rfam:Myotis davidii contig77642, whole genome shotgun sequence.